GAAAAGUAAUAAUUAGAACCUUCAAUCGUCAAAGGUAUAGCGAUCGUCAUCACUUCGCCGAACACAUCGCUUCCGCCGUCGUAUUCAAACACAUCGCUAUCUGAUGCAUCAUCGUCGUUACAGUUCUUAUAGAUCGUUUCAUUAUCUCGAACUGUUCAACAAUCUACACAGCAGAUCUGACGAAAAAAAUCUCAAGAACAUGAAGGAAUUAAACAAGAGUUGACUUACUGAGAUAAUCUCCGAGAUUGAAGGUCUGAUUGACCGCCCAGGAUUUAUAGUCGGCGGAGGUUUUCUUCGUGGUAGAGUUGAAUAGCCAACCGGCGUCGCCGCCAACCGUAUGAUUUGUGUAUCCGUCGGUAACCGCCGCCGCCGUCGUCACCAGAGCAAAAAUGGCGACUACAAAUGCAGAAGCCAUUAAUGCUCAGAAAGCUUCUUGAUUAGACCUUCAAUGGCGGAUGAGAUUUUCAACGGUUUGAUUUGAUCUGUAAUCAGAUGUGAAGGGUGUGAUUUGUGAUUGAUUAUGAAUGGGGUUGGGUUGAUUUUGUCGGCAUCCAAAAGUCGGGAUCCAAACUUGAACAUUUUUAUUAUUAAAAAAUGUAAUUAUUAUUAAGCCCUU